rnacentral:rRNA from 2 species
UGCUACAGCUAUACAUGCAGUCGAGCGGACAGAUGGGAGCUUGCUCCCUGAUGUUAGCGGCGGACGGGUGAGUAACACGUGGGUAACCUGCCUGUAAGACUGGGAUAACUCCGGGAAACCGGGGCUAAUACCGGAUGGUUGUUUGAACCGCAUGGUUCAAACAUAAAAGGUGGCUUCGGCUACCACUUACAGAUGGACCCGCGGCGCAUUAGCUAGUUGGUGAGGUAACGGCUCACCAAGGCAACGAUGCGUAGCCGACCUGAGAGGGUGAUCGGCCACACUGGGACUGAGACACGGCCCAGACUCCUACGGGAGGCAGCAGUAGGGAAUCUUCCGCAAUGGACGAAAGUCUGACGGAGCAACGCCGCGUGAGUGAUGAAGGUUUUCGGAUCGUAAAGCUCUGUUGUUAGGGAAGAACAAGUACCGUUCGAAUAGGGCGGUACCUUGACGGUACCUAACCAGAAAGCCACGGCUAACUACGUGCCAGCAGCCGCGGUAAUACGUAGGUGGCAAGCGUUGUCCGGAAUUAUUGGGCGUAAAGGGCUCGCAGGCGGUUUCUUAAGUCUGAUGUGAAAGCCCCCGGCUCAACCGGGGAGGGUCAUUGGAAACUGGGGAACUUGAGUGCAGAAGAGGAGAGUGGAAUUCCACGUGUAGCGGUGAAAUGCGUAGAGAUGUGGAGGAACACCAGUGGCGAAGGCGACUCUCUGGUCUGUAACUGACGCUGAGGAGCGAAAGCGUGGGGAGCGAACAGGAUUAGAUACCCUGGUAGUCCACGCCGUAAACGAUGAGUGCUAAGUGUUAGGGGGUUUCCGCCCCUUAGUGCUGCAGCUAACGCAUUAAGCACUCCGCCUGGGGAGUACGGUCGGCAGACUGAAACUCAAAGGAAUUGACGGGGGCCCGCACAGCCGGUUGAGCAUGUGGUUUUAUUUCGAAGCAACGCGAAGAACCUUUACCAGGUCGUGACAUCCUCUGACAUCCUAGAGAUAGGACGUCCCUUCCGGGGCAGGAGUGACAGCUGGUGCAUGGCUGGUCGUCAGCCUCCUGUCGUGAAAUGUUGGGGUUAAGUCCCGCCACGAGCGCCACCCCUGAUCUUAGUUGGCAGCAUCAUGGUCACCUCUGAGAGUACUGGCGUGAACGACCGAGGAGUGAGGAUGACUCAAAUCAUCAUGCCCCGUUAUGGACCUUGGGC